GACACGUCAAGGGAUUGGAAAUGAUUCUUGAAACUUGCUGAUACGAUCUGCAACAGAAAAGUGAAGACACAAGUUCAUUUUUUCUCAACAGUCUCAAAAGUAAAGAAAUGCAGACAUUUAUACAUUUACAAAAAGUUGCAAAAAUAUCAAGAAAAGUCGAAUCGUGGAGCGAAACUUAAUCUGAAGAGAUCCAACAUCUUCUCUGCCAAAGAAAUAAGCGGAAUCCCUGUUCGUGACAAAUGUAGCGAGGCAACUCGGUGCCCCCGAACGAUUCCCAACGUGGAAACUCGUGUCUAAUGCUCAAAGCCGCCGAUGCGACGGGACACGGAGUUUGACACGACUCUAGAAGGGAAUGUUGACAAGUGAGCAACAGCUGAGCACUUAGUCGAGCAUGAGGAAAGGGAGUAUAUCCCGGGGGAGUCGUUGAGAUUUCCGGCGGCCGCCGACAGAGAAUCCUGGAUACGUCCUCCCCGUCGGGCAUCUCGUAAAUUUUGACAAUAAGAGAGUACGCUUAGCUCGUCGAACUUAUUUAUUUUCGAAGUGGAUACACAUUAAGAGCUACUCGUGUCGCUUUAUCAUUGGAAUAAAGCUCGUUAGCUCGGUAUCAGUAUCGAAUAGCGUGUAAUCACGCUGAUUAUGUCGUCUGAACGCUAAUUUUCACUAACA